AUACAGAGGGUGCGAGCGUUAAUCGGAAUUACUGGGCGUAAAGCGCGCGUAGGCGGCUUGGUCAGUCGGAUGUGAAAGCCCCGGGCUCAACCCGGGAACUGCAUCCGAUACUGCAUGGCUAGAGUAUGGGAGAGGGAAGUGGAAUUUCCGGUGUAGCGGUGAAAUGCGUAGAUAUCGGAAGGAACACCAGUGGCGAAGGCGACUUCCUGGCCCAAUACUGACGCUGAGGUGCGAAAGCGUGGGGAGCAAACAGGAUUAGAUACCCCAGUAGUCC
rnacentral:rRNA from 1 species